AUUCAUCCAUAAAUAAUAUGAUCAAGAAAAUGGGAUACAAAACGAAACCUCGAUGAUCCAUGUUUCCGGCUUUUGGGUCUGACACAAAGCCCAAGGCCCAAAUCUAUAAUAACAAUAAAUUCGUUUUUUCUUAUUUUCAAAGAAGAUAAAAUAAUAAUAAAAUUAAAAGUUUGGUAUUUGGAGUUCCAAAUGUAUAUAGACAAAAUGAUUCAUGUUUUUGGUUUGAGUAUUUGUGUUAGAUUAGUUGCUUAAGACAGGUCAAAUCAAGAUUUGACUCUUCUUCUUCCUUAGCUGCAGGUUUUAUACUUGUUGAUUGUUGUCUUUGGAUUUUAACAAAACCAUUGGUAACAUCCAAAGACAACAGAAGCUUCAAAUGUCUUUGAACUAUAAUCAUAACAACAUUUGUGUUCGAGAAGUGCCUAAAGAGAAUCUAGUCUCAACUGGUCUUUAGACUAUAUCUUAUGAUGACGAUGACCGCAACUCUUCAGUGAGUUCUACUAGUUGUAGCAUUGUAGCUGCUUCUCCAAUCUUUCAGUCACUCCAUGUUAGUCUUCGGAUUGACCUCAAUAGACAAAAAGAUGAACUUGACUAGUUCAUCAAGGUACUGAUUGUCUCUGCAUGUGCUCUGUUUUUGCCUCAACCACAUAAAGAAACACAUACUUUGAGAUGGAAUCAGCUUCAGACAUGACACUCAAAAAGCACUUGUUCUUUGGUUCCUUGGUUAUCAAGUUAAGCCUCUGUUUUGUUUCCCCUCAAAUAAUCAAAUAAUAUAUACACGGAUAUGUAAAAUAUAUGUGUUUGACGAUUAUUUUUUUGUCUUUUUCCCUUGAAGCUUGUCUAUUAUUCAAUCAAAUCUGUCCCAUUUGAUAA